CGGUUAGUACCAAGCGCCUGUUGACUUUAGGAUUCACCCUUUGUGUCUGAACAUUCUAUGCUCUGACACACGUAUGACACUGGCGCCCACUAUUUGCAUAGUGUGUGCAUCACCCUAAAAAUCCUCUCUGCACUCCACCCUCCCUGCCCUGCCCACUGUUCCCCAACUCACUGUUUUCUUUACCCUCUCCACAGUCUGCUGUGCCCAGCGUACUGUACGGUGGACUCCUGCAGCCCUUCCAGAUCAGCCUCUGCCCCUGGCCGUGGGCACUUGGGCUUCUCCUGGCUGGACAGCUCGUUUCUUAUUAUCACUGAUAACAGUCCUUCAUCUGCUCGUCCCCCAGUCCACCCAUGGCCUGUAAAGGACAUCUUGGUGGCUUCCACACUUCCACCCAAUAUGAAUAAGGCUGCUGUAAAAAGAUUCGUACGCAGCUUCGGUGGGCAGAGGUGUCCAGCCCCUUUGGGUGCACGUGCUCACGCCUGCGCGCACACACACACUGUGAUCUUUCUGGAAGAGGAAAAGGUGAAGUAAGGUUUUGGAAAUGAUUUCUGGAUUGACAUGAACUGUGAUGUGUAUAGAGAAUGCAAGUUGGAAGUGAGCUUAACGCUUGCAGAAUACUCGGGUCGGAGCAUCUGGGAUGGGCAGAGACCAUUAAAAGGCCCUGAAUGGAGGCCGUGCUGGGCCAGCCCUGUGUCUGCUUGUCAGGAGAGGGCAGUGUCAGGAUCCUCCCUUGGGCUGCUACCUUAGGCGCUGACCUGGAGUCGAACAGCCCCCACGUCUGACCGGCGGAGGGGGACCAGUGCCGCCCCUGGUCCAAUUUGGAGCCCUUGUGCUCCAAUUUGUAAGAGGCGAAAUUUCUAAGAAUGCAAGCCAGACACUGACCACAGGCUUUGCCUUCAUGAGAACCUCCUGCCAUCACCGAGGGGCCGGCCUUCGAGCCAGUGUGUGAUCUGUGCUUGGCAAGCCUCACCGCCCUUCUGCUGGCUGGGUGGCCUGUCCUGUGUUCUGAAAGUAGAGUCACCUCUGUCACUUCUGUGACUGUUGGCCAGAUACCCUGAGGUCUGCACAACCAAAGCUGGUGGAUUUCCACCCACACUCAUCGACCUCCUGGGCUUGUGCUUCCUCCUCUUCUGGAAGAUUCUUUCCACACAGUUCAUACUCCUCCCCUGUGAAUCACUAAUCAUUUUUGUCUAGUUUCAGGAAUACAUAAUAACAUUUCUUUAGGUUAAGAUAUUAAUGUUACUUGGCUUACAAGUUUAUAUUCUCUGCUUUCAUACAGGUAGCAUGAAAUAAUA
rnacentral:lncRNA from 1 species